GCGGGAGGGGGGCGAGCAAAUGUGUUACUGUCUGAUUAGUUCAGUGCAAACACCUUAUUAGCAUAUCCCCAGGGGAUGGGGGGAGAGCUGAAGGAGAGACGAGUCACUGCUAUCGCGCCUGAGCCAAGCUAUCGCGCCUGCGCCAAGCAACCGUCAAUGUUCUAGGAAACAAAAACUGAGGCCUAGUCUCCCAAACUGCCCGUUUGCAGCAAGUCUUGCAGUCAACCUGGCUCUGGAUGAAUCAAUCCUUUCAAUACUCAGCUGAAUACUAUAUGUUCGCUUUUGAUAUUAGAUUCAUAGAGCUCACCUGCAGAAUAAUGAUCUUGCAGAAGAAAAUAUUUACCAUGCCUGAUGAUGCAGAACAGUCUUCUUAGGUUGUCGAAUUUUUAAGCAAUAGAAGAUCCUUGAAUUAGGGCAAGCCCACAGUCUUCUUUUGUCGCAUCUUUAAGAAAUAGAAGAUCCUUGAAUUAGGGCAAACUCAGAGUUCUUUCAAGCAAAACAAGGACAGUGGAGAGCGAAAAGGAAGACAAUGGUAGACACUAAGAGCCUGCCUGAUUCAGCUACAUCCUUUCCAAGAACCUAAGGUAGCACUUUGGGAGAUCCUGUGCAGAUUGCUAUGUGUGCAUACUACCUACUGCAUUUGUAAAAAGAGUUUUUCUCUACUCAAAUAGAUGAUUUUGUCGAUUCUGAAAUGAAUUAUACAUGACAACAUACAUUGACAAACUUCUAUACUAUCCAGAGAAUAACUGUAGUAACAAUCAAUAAAGAAAGUAUUCGGAUCAAAUAAA